rfam:Vitis vinifera, whole genome shotgun sequence of line PN40024, unordered unoriented unplaced sequences
UUGCUAUGAUGAUGAAUGGAAGAAAUCUAUUGAAAGUUCACACAAAUUGCUUGAUGAAAGUUUAUCCUGAGCGGUUACCUGAGCAA